GAGCACUGGGUGUUAUAUGUUGGCAAAUCGACUCCAAUAAAAAAAUAUACAAAAAAAAAAGAAGAAGAAGAACAAUAUAUAGUGGAAGGGAAACAUAUUCCAGUAAAUGAUUUCUUGAAAUACCAGAAACCACCAUUAGUUUUUUUUUUUUUUUCUGAAGAAGAACAAAAAUUCUGAUAUGAUUUCUAGGGCCUUGUUAUUUAGGGAACUCAUAUCACAGUGCUGUGUUACAGCAUAAAAAUACUUAAUGCUGAAAAUAGAGGGAUGCUCUUUGAGGUAGAUUCAGUGAAUUCCUUUUAACUUUUUAUGUCUCCUUAAAGAGGCUUUAGCUAAAAGUGUGGAGGUCAGGGAACCAUAAAUCAUGGACAUCGAAAUACUGAAAGCUGUGAACAUAAAUGUUUCGAUAAAUACCAAGUGGUAUCAAAUUCUGCUGUGAAAUUCCAAAGUGUAAUAUAAUCCUUUAGUGUUAAGGAAAGAGGUCUUCAAAUGAACAAGAGUUAAAGGUGGUCAGCUUGGCUUUUAUAUUUUGAAGAGGGAGCAAAGCCUUAAGAGUGCUGCUGCUGACUGUUUGUCAGUCUAGAAACAGCAAUGGAAUGGCUGUUUCAUGCCAGUAGGUUGUCUUUUCUUUCCCAUUUAUGUCUUUCUUUUUGUUCAAUAUAUGUAUGUUAUAUACCUAUUACAUAUACAGAGGCCUUUUGACAUCAAAGAUUCUGGUUCUGCAGCUUGGAUAAUCUAUAAGAUUAUACCGACCAUAACAUAGCAGGCACAUGCCAGACACUUGACCCCUAAAAGGGAGUCACAGGCCAUGGCAUAUUUAAACACAGUGAGAAGUCAAGUUAACAGCAAGUAUACUCUUGAACAAAUGUGCAUUGUUGUUACAAUUGAAACCACAUGCUGAGUAAUAUAACAUAGGUGCAACCUAACUGAGAAUGUGUAGACAGUUGGAAUCAUGAAUGUAUUAUGAUUUUUAAAAAUUUAUAUUAUGUCUGUGAGUCUUGGGGCCCCUCACUCUGUUUUCUUAGUGUAAGUCAGCAACACAAACCCAGCUGCAUCGAUAGACCUGGGUACUGGAAGACCAGUUCCUCUCUAGCUGCUGGGACCAUGGAAAGACUUCAGCUGCUACAGGAGCCUAAGGACCUGAUCUUUCUAAACCAUGGCAAACCUGAACUUACCUAAGGGGCUAAAUCACAGACCGCUGAAGCAGACAUCUCUGAAUAUAGAACUAUUUCAGUGGCUGUUUAUUACUUUAUGGAAUAUUCAGCCAUAGACAAUUGUACAAAUAGAUACUUACACUAAACCUUUCAAGCGUCAUUUGGUUUGAAAUAACACAUGUUUCUUUUUUUGAGGUCCAAUUUUUUAGCUCAUUUUUUGUUUAUUGGCAACCUAAAUUAAGACAGGUUAGAGAUGUUGAGUUUUGUCUGCAGGCAGAUGAAAAUGAUGAAAUAAUGAUUUAUUUGUGUGUCUUUUGUGCAGUAACAGCUAGAGUGGUCUGGAAAUCCCAUUGGUAAUUUCUUUUUGCUUCUGGUCUAUAUCUUUACUUGUAGCCAGACAUGGAAAGCUUGAGGGGAAAGAGGAAGAGAGAAUGAAUUUAGGGAGUGUCUUCUAUUCAUUGGCAGCAUUCUUCUCUUGCAAGGAGCAUGGGGUCUGUGGGAAGAGUGUAAACUCCACCAUGAGAAAGGAAUGAAGGUACAACUUGUUCUCAUUCAGUAUACUUUCUUUCCAUAUAUUUCUACUUUCUCUUUGUAAAAGGAAAGGCUGAAAUUAAAUAACCAGUCUCUCUGGUAUUAAAGUGCUCUGACUUGAUUACAUACCCAUAGCCUAUUUUACCACAGAUAAUAUUUGCAGUUCACUUAAAAUUUUUCUAUCAGAGCCUUUUCCUACUUUGUAAGUGUUCAUUGAUUCAUUCAUUCAACAUAUAUUUAAGGAUUUUUUUCUACAUAAAAAAUGCUAUUUUUGAGGGGAUGAGAUAAGGAAUUGUAGCAGAGUACUUUUAUAUAUGUAUCUUUUAACUUAGAGGUGAAAAAAACCCCCACUCCUUCACAAGAUAUAUUACACACCAAAAGAUGAGUUCACAAAGCAGCAUUAGAUGAAUGGAAUAAAAAGUAAGUUCUAUGAAUCCAGAGACAGGAGAGUCAGCAUUUCACCAUGGACAGGAAUGAUUUUUUGAGUGAGAGAGGCCUUGUGCUAUGUGCGAUAGCUCAGUAAAGGUUGGAUGGGGAGAGAAGACUUGAGGUAUCCCCCCCCAAGAAUAUAGAGUGGUAGGAGCCAAACUGGAGAGGGAAAAUGAGCAUGGAACAAUUAAAGAAGGUGUAAGUAGACCAGUGUGGCUAGAUUGGUAGUUUUACCAAGGGGCAUAUCUACUUAGUCUUUAACUUCAGCAAAUAUUUAUGGAGUUCUGACUGCUCUGUGUCAGGUACUUUGGAUACAAAGAUGAAAAAGACAGACAUGGUUUAGGCAAUCAAAUAGGUUACAGUCUGGUGGGUGAUAUGGACAAUAAACAUUGGAACCAACAAAUUUGUGAAAUAGUGGGAAAUUAGGUAAGAAUAAUUAGGAAACAUACAAGGAUCUAUAAGAGAUCAGGGGAAAACAACUAGAAAAUAAAAGAACGGUGUGUAUUCUAGCCCAGAGGAGGCAAUGUGACAUUGUAUAGAUAAUUAGUCAACCUGAGUUCAAAUCCCAGCUCUGCCAUUUGUUGGCUGUUGGACUUGGUAAGUUAUCAAACCUGUCUGAGCAUAGUUUUGUACCUUUGUUAAAUGGGAAUAAAUACCAUUUACCUCAUAGGAUUGCCCAAUAUUUGAAUGAAAUAACAUACGACACAGUAUGCAUAGUUUUGGGGAACACAGUAGAUACUCACUAAGCAUUAGAAUCUAUCAUUUAUGCCUAAACACCAGAGAAAUAGAGAAAUCCUAUUUUUUCUUUUAGAAAAAGACUCUGGAGGGUGACUGGUGAUGGGCACUGAGGGGGGUCCCUUGAUGGGAUGAGCACUGGGUAUUAUACUAUAUGUUGGCAAUGAAGCUCUAAUAAAAAUAUAUAUAACAAAAAAAAAAGAAAAAAAA
rnacentral:lncRNA from 1 species